rnacentral:rRNA from 1 species
AUUGAACGCUGGCGGCAGGCCUAACACAUGCAAGUCGAACGAGUGGCGGACGGGUGAGUAAUGUCUGGGAAACUGCCUGAUGGAGGGGGAUAACUACUGGAAACGGUAGCUAAUACCGCAUACCAUCAGAUGUGCCCAGAUGGGAUUGGCUUGUUGGUGGGGUAACGGCUCACCAAGGCGACGAUCCCUAGCUGGUCUGAGAGGAUGAUCAGUCAAACUGGAAAUGGGAGACGGUCCAGACUCCAACGGGAGGCAGAAGUGGGGAAUAUUGAACAAUGGGAGAAAGCCUAAUCCAGCCAUGCCGCGUGUGUGAAGAAGGUCUGCGGAUUGUAAAGCACUUUAAGUUGGGAGGCGUUACCAACAGAAUAAGCACCGGCUAACUUCGUGCCAGCCGCCGCGUUAAUAC